rnacentral:rRNA from 1 species
GAAACUCGCCUACAUGAAGCUGGAGUUACUAGUAAUCGCAGAUCAGAAUGCUGCGGUGAAUGCGUUCCCGGGUCUUGUACACACCGCCCGUCACACCACGGAAGUUGGGGGCGCCCGAAGCCACUUAGCUAACCCUUUUGGGAAGCGAGUGUCGAAGGUGAAAUCAAUAACUGGGGUGAAGUCGUAACAAGGUAAC